AUUGAACGCUGGCGGCAUGCCUAACACAUGCCAGUCGAACGAGUGGCGGACGGGUGAGUAAUGUCUGGGAAACUGCCUGACAGAGGGGUAUUACUACUGGAAACGGUAGCUAAUAACGCAUACCAUCGGAUGUGACCAUAUGGGUUUAGCUAGUAGGUGGGGUAACGGCUCACCUAGGCGACGCUGCCUAGCUGGUCUGCUAGGCUGACCAGCCACACUGGAACGGAGACACGGUCCAGACUCCUACGGGAGGCAGCAGUGGGGAAUAGUGGACAAGGGGCGAAAGCCUGAUGGAGCCAUGCCGCGUGGAUGAAGAAGGCUGUCGGGUUGUAAAGUACGGGCGGCAGGGAGGCGUUACCCGCAGAGAAAGCACCGGCUAACUCCGUGCCAGCAGCCGCGGUAAUUC
rnacentral:rRNA from 1 species